rnacentral:rRNA from 1 species
CUACACUGCGUGAGCGGACGAAAACAACAACACCUAAAAUGUGGAAUAUAGCAUAUAGUCGACAAGAGAAAUCUACGGACAAGAGAAAUCUACGAAAAAACAAACAAAACUUUCAACAACGGAUCUCUUGGUUCUCGCAUCGAUGAAGAGCGCAGCGAAAUGCGAUACCUAGUGUGAAUUGCAGCCAUCGUGAAUCAUCGAGUUCUUGAACGCACAUUGCGCCCCUCGGCAUUCCGGGGGGCAUGCCUGUUUGAGCGUCGUUUCCAUCUUGCGCGUGCGCAGAGUUGGGGGAGCGGAGCGGACGACGUGUAAAGAGCGUCGGAGCUGCGACUCGCCUGAAAGGGAGCGAAGCUGGCCGAGCGAACUAGACUUUUUUUCAGGGACGCUUGGCGGCCGAGAGCGAGUGUUGCGAGACAACAAAAAGCUCGACCUCAAAUCAGGUAGGAAUACCCGCUGAACUUAAGCAUAUCAAUAAGCGGAGGAAAAGGAUCAUUACUGUGAUUUAGUA